rnacentral:rRNA from 1 species
UACGGGGGGGGCAAGCGUUGUUCGGAAUUACUGGGCGUAAAGGGCUCGUAGGCGGCCAACUAAGUCAGACGUGAAAUCCCUCGGCUUAACCGGGGAACUGCAUCUGAUACUGGAUGGCUUGAGUUCGGGAGAGGGAUGCGGAAUUCCAGGUGUAGCGGUGAAAUGCGUAGAUAUCUGGAGGAACACCGGUGGCGAAGGCGGCAUCCUGGACCGAGAUUGACGCCGAGGCGCGAAAGCCAGGGGAGCAAACGGG